GGAUGUGAUGAUUGUUGUUUGACACCCAGUCAUACUUCCAUCUAUUGAUGGAAGAUGGUGAUAUCAAUCGACUUUUAAUCUGAUCC
rfam:Gossypium arboreum cultivar AKA8401 contig_43178_1, whole genome shotgun sequence.